ensembl:miRNA
UAACAAGGUGUUGAAUGUAAUGGUUCCUAUUUGGGUUAAGAAAGAUGUGUUUGAGCCUAGUUACAAUGACUUAAAAUUCAUGGCCCCAAACUGCAAUUACUUUUGCACCAAC